UACGUAGGGCGCAAGCGUUAUCCGGAAUCAUUGGGCGUAAAGCGCACGUAGGCGGCCUAGUAUGUCGGGUGUGAAAGCCCUCGGCUUAACCGGGGAAGUGCAUUCGAAACUGCUAGGCUUGAGUACUGAAGAGGAUCGCGGAAUUCCCGGUGUAGAGGUGAAAUUCGUAGAUAUCGGGAGGAACACCAGUGGCGAAGGCGGCGAUCUGGGCAGAUACUGACGCUGAGGUGCGAAAGCGUGGGGAGCAAACAGG
rnacentral:rRNA from 1 species